GCCUUGCUAGCUCAGAUGAUAGAGCAUGAGAUUCUUAAUCUCAGGGUUGUGGGUUCAAGCCCCACAGUGGGCA